GCUCUUCGGANCGAGUAGAGUGGCGCACGGGUGANUAACACGUAGGUAAUCUACCCUUUGGCGGGGGANAACACCGGGAAACCGAUGCUAAUACCGCGUAAGACCACAGAGGCUACGGUCUCAGUGGUAAAGGGUGCCUCUAAAGCACCACCGAAGGAUGAGCCUGCGUCCCAUCAGCUUGUUGGUAAGGUAACGGCUUACCAAGGCGAAGACGGGUAGCGGGUCUGAGAGGAUGAACCGCCACACUGGUACUGGAACACGGACCAGACUCCUACGGGAGGCAGCAGUGAGGAAUAUUGGGCAAUGGGCGCAAGCCUGACCCAGCCACGCCGCGUGUGUGAUGAAGGCCUUCGGGUCGUAAAGCACUGUGGAGAGGGACGAAAACGUGCAUCAGGAAAUGGGUGCGCCUUGACGGUACCUCUUUAGCAAGCACCGGCUAACUCUGUGCCAGCAGCCGCGGUAAUACAGAGGGUGCAAACGUUGCUCGGAUUUACUGGGCGUAAAGCGCGUGUAGGCUGACAUGCNAGUCGGGUGUGAAAUCCCAGGGCUCAACCUUGGAAUUGCAUUCGAAACUGCUUGUCUUGAGUGAUGGAGAGGGUGGCGGAAUUAUCGGUGUAGGGGUGAAAUNCNNNAGAUNUCNAUAGGNACANCAGUGGCGA
rnacentral:rRNA from 1 species